rnacentral:tRNA from 1 species
UUAGGGAGACCUACAAAGCAGAGAGAAAAGCCAUAGGAUUCAUAGCUGAGGGAAACUAAGGCAUCUUAAUUGGUGUGAUUAGUAACUGAAGUGAGGAUGAUGUAGCGCACCCAAACAUAAUUUUCACCUGUAUUUGUUAUCCCAAGGUCGACCAAGUGAUUAGUGUUAGGUUCUCAAACUAUAUUCGGUUCGGGUAUGGGCUAUUAGCUCAGGUGGUUAGAGCGCACCCCUGAUAAGGGUGAGGUCCCUGGUUCGAAUCCAGGAUGGCCCACCUUAGAACAGGGGGGUUUAGCUCAGUUGGUAGAGCGCCUGCUUUGCAAGCAGGAUGUCAGCGGUUCGAGUCCGCUAACCUCCACUGGGUACAUAAGUGAUUGAAAGAGCGAAGCUUGAGUCAAAGGAUUCUUUGAUUUUUCAAGCGUAGUGAUAAAUCAAUCAACCCAUUAGAUGAAGAGUAGAGCUCAGCACCUUAUCAACUUAUUAGAGUUGAGAGAAUGCUGAGGUGAUGCUCAGUAAGAACCUUGAAAACUGCAUAGCAAAUGUCAGGUAGUCAUUCAUGGACAUGAUGAAUUUUAUUGGUUAGUUUAGUUUUGACAUCAAAAAUGGUGUUAGGGGCGAGACAAACAAUAGGACGAUUCAGCGAAGUGAGAUGAAUAUUGGAUACCAAUGAACUUUGUAAGUGGUCAAGCUACAAAGGGCUGAU